rnacentral:lncRNA from 1 species
UUAGACAAAUCAAUCAACAAAAUGCCAUCAUCGUCAACGAUUGACAGCUUUGGCAUCCACUCCAUAAAUCACAGAUAUGACAGAUCAAAAGGUAAUGAUUUUUACACUCCCGUUGUCUGUUUUAUUUAAUCUGCUCUAAUUUAUCUAAUCCAAAAAAGAUUUUUGGUCCAUCUUAUUUGCAUUUAUCUUUUCUAUGAAUAAUAUUAGUAAGACCACCUUGGUAAGCAAAAUUCGAUUAUAUAGGCAUGGUUGCUUACAAGACAAAAGAUUUGUUCUUUGCUUUAUGAUUUCUAGGCUUUUAGAUUAGAAAUGUUAGCUUCAACACCUUGGUAUUAUGAUCAAGUACAACAUUGGGGUGAUGACAUUGACAAACUCUCAAAGAAAACCACUUCCCUAUUAAACAGCUCCAGCCCAUGUUUGUUUAACAAUGUUGUAUCAUUCAUUAUAUAGUUUCACAAAGAUCGUGCAUUAUUCUUGCUGAACUUGGUUUGGUUUUUUUUUGUUUAGGGAUAGAGUGAACAAAUCACAGUUCGACCAAGUCUUGAAUGAUGAAUUGGAUAGAUCAUUGAUGUCUCUUUGUCAAGUUAAAUUUUCAUUCACUAUUUUUUUUGUUUUUUGCAUUUGUAAUGCUCAUUUCUUGACUCAAACAUUGCUUAUGAAGUGAAUGAAUUUGCAUAAUCUUAAAUAUAA